UUGUAAUCCAAGAGGCUGUAGUUUUUAUUAAAAGUAAAUCAACGAAUGUUUCAUUAAAUGUUUGGAAAAAUAUAUAUACUUGAGAAAAUUUCACCUGUCUUCUUGCUAAAUUCGAGAUGCGAAUCUCAACUGUUACAUAAGAAUUGCAGGCUAAGAUUUUUGAAGGAUAUGACUGUACUUUUUCUGAAGUCAGUUUUCUGAAGAUUCUGCGACACAAGGCUAAUGCAGAGGCUUUUCUGUGUUCACACAAGUUUCAGAGAUUGAAAAAAUGAUUCAAGAUGGUCAUCCAUUGAGCAAUUUUCGAAAGAUGCGAAAUGGAUUCUACAACAUAAAGGUCCGGAAUUCCCAAUCAAGGCUCUAAACAAGUGUUCGCCAUCUGGAAGAAGUGUGUAGGCGAGUUGUCGAUGAAGUCAUUAGCUACAGCUAGAAAAAUGCAAAGCUGCAAAACAUAAAUAUUUUUCUUGAACAUUUCCUGUUUGAAAUGGAUACGAGUAAGCAUAAAAAGGAUUUCUUGUAUUAGUAUUUCGGAUGCACUUUCUCACUCGCCGGUUUCGUUUUGAUAUAUAGUUCACAGUAAUUAAAUGUUUGAAUUUAUAACUAGAGUAAUUGUGCUGCAAAAAAUACAUUGCAAAGUCGAAGAGAUACUGCUUUGUCCAUCUAGAGGAAGCAUUGGUCAUAUUUAUUAAUAACAUACACAACUAUAUCACUCGAUAAAUUCAAAUUAUUUUCAAGGUCCCUUGAAACUGUUGUCCUUUCAUCACUGAUUGUAUUAAUCUCAUGUAACGUUUAUGUUCAGAAUGAGACACCUGAAAACAAAGCAAAAACAUAACAUCUAUUUAGAUAUGAAAUUGUCUUUCAUAACCUUUGAUCCAUAGACGCUUGAGAAAUGUACUGUAGAUAAAUUCUUUAUUUUGGGUGAUAGAUUUUGCUAUAAAUUUGUUUUACUCCCUUUGAAUUUUCUCGGAGUAGUUCACCAAAUCGUAGAUCCAAUGAUACGAAAUGUUAUUUUAGGUUUGAAAUCUUGAAGAUCCGUCGUCCUGACCUAGGAGUAGCGCGUCUUCCCCGUGACCUGGGAUCGAGUCCUGGUUCGGGCAUGGUUGUCCUUGAUUCUGUGUUCUGAGGUGGGUGAUAGCCCCCCUGUAUAAAGGGGUUAUGCAAUGUAGUGCGAGUGUCGUCUUCAUAUGAGCUAGAAGUCAACUUCUCCCCUCGGGUGCUCAGGGGCCUUUACCCACAAACUCGGCUUAAACCGUUGACUUUGUCAGCGGGUUUGUCUAUGACAAAUGCCAUAGGCAACAACAGCAAAUCCUAAAUAUUAAAUGUGAACACACUUAAACCAACAAAUUAAAUGUGAAUACAUUAAAUUGAACAAAUUAAAUGUGAACACACUUAACUGUGCCAGUCAAGUCAUUCUGUUUGGAAUUUAAAACGUUAUCGACUGCUUUAAAAUCAUCAAUCCAAUACACCUUUUGAGAUCUCGAUAUGUAAUUCGGUUUGGCUAUAACUUCACGAUGCUCGUUCUUUUAGCAUACGUCAUUUCGUCGAGCACACACGAGAGUUUUUGUGUGUGCCUCGAUGGUGGAAUUUGAUAGCCUUCUAUUGAAAACGAUCCAAUGUUUUAACGGAGAAUAUGGACUUAUUAUAAGGCUGUCAUUGUGUCCAAAGUUUUGUUAGAUGAAAGCAGGUAGUAAUCAAUGCCAUCCAGUCCUAUAUUAAAAGGCAUCCGGGAACAGAGUACUUCCAGCAUGCAUCUUUUCUGAUGCACCUUAUCGCUCCUGUCACUCGACCAGUAGAAAAUCCACUUUGGAAGGUAUUUUUUUCUGGAAUCUCAAUUUGCUAUAUUCAAGACCAUAGAUUUAGUUGCUUUGCAACAAAUGGUUUCAGAGGUGUCGAUAUUCCGAUUACAUCAAACAAUUUUAAAUGCAAGCGAUCAUAUAGCUACUGGUGUGAUCGAUUCCAGCUAUAGC